UAUAAAUGGCCGAAUUUCUUUACGAAAACGGGGGAACCGAUUUUUAGGGGUGAGUUUCACUGAAUUCCUGGAUAUUCCAAGGAUCCAAGCGAAUAGGGCAACCGUUCAUGUCCGAAUCCGUCAGCUAACCUCGUAGGCCUUUGAGCAGGG
rnacentral:sRNA from 1 species